rnacentral:rRNA from 1 species
GAUGAACGCUGGCGGCGUGCCUAAUACAUGCAAGUCGAGCGAACGGACGAGAAGCUUGCGUGGCUGAUGUUAGCGGCGGAGGGGUGAGUAACACGUGUAUAACCUACCUAUAAUACUGGGAUAACUUCGGGAAAGCGGAGCUAAUACGGGAGGAGAUUUUGAAGCGCAGUGGUCAAAGGAGAAAGACGGUGUUGCUGUCACGUAUAGAGGGAUCCGCGCUGCAUGAGAUAGUUGGGAAGGUAACGGCUUACUAAGGCAACGAUGCAUAACCGAACUGAGAGGGUGAUAGGCCACACUGGAACUGAGCCACGGUCCAGACGCCUACGGGAGGCAGCAGUAGGGAAUCUUACGCAAUGGGCGAAAGCCUGACGGAGCAACGCCGAGUGAGUGAUGAAGGUCUUCGGAUCGUAAAACUCUGUUAUUAGGGAAGAACAUAUGUGUAAGUAACUGUGCACAGCUUGACGGUACCUAAUCAGAAAGCCACGGCUAACUACGUG